rnacentral:lncRNA from 1 species
CGUCGAUUAUCGUCGACGCAAACAGUUUGACAGUUCUCUUCAGUUGAUCUUGUUCGGACUUGAUCAAAUCAGAAAAACAAUAUUGUUGUAAAGGUUCGUGAGGAUUUUGGCUGGUUGAUUGACUUCCUGAUUUCAGCCUUCGCGACGGUGGAAGAGAACGUGAAACAUCGUUAACCCGGCGGAUCAUGCCGGAAGAUGGGACGGGAAGGAACCGGUCUGCGAUCGAAAGCGGAUUGGGAUCUGUAUCAAACAGUCUCCAAACAGGACAAUGAAAGUGUUGAUGGUGUUUGAUUUUUAGAGAAUGUCAAAAUCGCCAUUAUCAAUACUAAGACCUGGAAAAAAAGAACAAACUUGCGGUCGAGUACAACCUCUGAGUGAAAGCGAUGGAGGUGAACGAACUACUCACGGGGCAGCACACGAAUUCUACCGGAUUGGCCAUCAUCAAGCGAAAUUUGGAAAAUUGUGACUGCAGUGAUAGUGAAUAUUUGGAAAACAAAGUGCCAGGCCAGUGAAAACUAAUAAAUAUCAAUAAAAAUCAGCAAAAC